rnacentral:tRNA from 12 species
GGAAGGAUGGCUGAGUGGUUUAAGGCAGCGGUCUUGAAAACCGUCGAGUGUAACAGCUCCCAGAGUUCGAAUCUCUGUCCUUCCGCCA